rnacentral:piRNA from 1 species
UGAGAUGUCCUCACCACGUUAGUGUUAAGCA